rnacentral:rRNA from 1 species
UACAGAGGUCUCAAGCGUUGUUCGGAUUCAUUGGGCGUAAAGGGGGUGUAGGUGGCGCGCUAAGUCGGGUGUGAAAUUUCGGAGCUUAACUCCGAAACUGCAUUCGAUACUGGCGUGCUUGAGGACUGGAGAGGAGACUGGAAUUCAUGGUGUAGCAGUGAAAUGCGUAGAGAUCAUGAGGAAGACCAGUGGCGAAGGCGGGUCUCUGGACAGUUCCUGACACUGAGACACGAAGGCUAGGGGAGCAAACGGG